UUGCUUUAGGGAUGGAAUAACAUCCCCUAAUAUUUACCUUAACACCCUUUCACUUUGUCAGUAAUUUCCUUUUUAGUUUUAUUACUAAUUUUUUACAAGUCACUGAUCAUUUAUGGGUGUUACAUUU